rfam:Haemonchus placei strain MHpl1 genome assembly, scaffold: HPLM_scaffold0000550
GGCACAAAUUAAAGUAGAGUAGCUUAGUAAGUUCAGCAGAUCCUACCAAUCUACUCUACCUCAAAUUUGGGUCC